GAUGAACGCUGGCGGCGCGCCUAACACAUGCAAGUCGAACGGUUAAAGCACCUUUUAGGUGUGUAUAAAGUGGCGAACGGCUGAGUAACACGUGGGCCACCUGCCCUCCUCUUGGGGAUAGCCUCGGGAAACCGAGGAUAAUACCCGAUACUUCAAUGUGGCCGCAUGACGACAUUGAGAAAGCUUUUGCGGAGACGGAUGGGCCCGCGGCCUGUUAGCUUGUUGGUGGGGUAGAGGCCUACCAAGGCAAUGAUGGGUAGCUGGGUUGAGAGACCGACCAGCCAGAUUGGGACUGAGACACGGCCCAGACUCCUACGGGAGGCAGCAGUGGGGAAUCUUGCACAAUGGGCGAAAGCCUGAUGCAGCGACGCCGCGUGCGGGACGAAGGCCUUCGGGUUGUAAACCGCUUUCAGCAGGGACGAGGCGAUAAGUGACGGUACCUGCAGAAGAAGCCCCGGCUAACUACGUG
rnacentral:rRNA from 1 species